UGAUCAUCUUUUUUACGAAAUUUCUAAGUUCUCAGUAUUUUUUUUAAAUAAAAUCGUAAAUUUAUUUUCCGAUAUGGUUUGUAGAACGUGAAAAAUCAAAUUUACCCGCCUUAAUAACCAUAUCGUUCUCAUUAUUUAAUUUUCAGAUAUUUAUCUGGUAAUAUAAGUAAAUUAUAUUCAAUUGAUAAGUAGCAAAAUUAAAAAAUUCAAAUUUUUCGGCUCCUGGGUAGGGUUUCGUAACUUUCGGGGCUCAAAUGAAAAUUUAGAAUCAAAAAAUUAUUUAAAAUUUGUUUUGUCUAAAUAUUCCCCCAGUUUCUUAGUAAUAAGAUGUUAUAAAUUUAAAAAGUUGUCCAAUAACCACCUAGUGGUGAAAUAGUGGAACUAAUAUUUUCAUGAAGAAAUUGAAAAGUAAAAUUUUGUCUGUAGGGCGAUUUCCAGGUGAUUCCAUGAAACUUAAUAAGAAGCAACAUUUUUGAAUGGUGCUCAACUGUAACUGUAUAAAUAAAAUCAGUAACCAUUUUUGAAACAGUGCCACCUUCUGCAAGAUUAUAUUUUCCUGGUACAAAAUCAAGAUUUUGACGAAAA